rnacentral:rRNA from 1 species
GUUCCUACGGGCGGCAGCAGUAGGGAAUAUUGGACAAUGGGUGCGAGCCUGAUCCAGCCAUGCCGCGUGCAGGAAGACGGCCUUCUGGGUUGUAAACUGCUUUUGCCAGGGGAUAAAAAGUCCCUGCGGGGAAAAUUGAAGGUACCUGGUGAAUAAGCCACGGCUAACUACGUGCCAGCAGCCGCGGUAAUACGUAGGUGGCAAGCGUUGUCCGGAUUUAUUGGGUUUAAAGGGUGCGUAGGUUGUUUUGUAAGUCAGUGGUGAAAGCCGGCAGCUCAACUGUCGAUGUGCCAUUGAUACUGCAGAACUUGCGUACAGACGAGGUAGGCGGAAUUGACGGUGUAGCGGUGAAAUGCUUAGAUAUCGUCAAGAACACCGAUAGCGAAGGCAGCUUACUAGACUGUAACUGACACUGAUGCACGAAAGUGUGGGGAUCAAACAGGAUUAGAUACCCGAGUAGUCG